rnacentral:rRNA from 1 species
ACAGCAGCCGCCGCGGUAACACAGAGGGUGCGAGCGUUAAUCGGAUUUACUGGGCGUAAAGCGUGCGUAGGCGGCUUCUUAAGUCGGAUGUGAAAUCCCUGAGCUUAACUUAGGAAUUGCAUUCGAUACUGGGAAGCUAGAGUAUGGGAGAGGAUGGUAGAAUUCCAGGUGUAGCGGUGAAAUGCGUAGAGAUCUGGAGGAAUACCGAUGGCGAAGGCAGCCAUCUGGCCUAAUACUGACGCUGAGGUACGAAAGCAUGGGGAGCAAACAGGAUUAGAUACCCUGGUAGUUCCUGUCUCUUAUAC